CUCACCAGCAGGAUCAGGGCCAUGGAGGUCGUGGAGCAGGGCCAGGUGCUGGAGACCAUCCUAAACCAGCUGGUGGAACACAGCCAGCUGGCUGGGAAGGAGCAGGCGUCAGACACCAAGGACAGCGGCAUCCAGGAGCUUCUGCAGCUCUUGAGCCUGGACCCCCAGGCUUCAGAGAAGGUUGGUGCCCAGACCUCCUUCUUCCACUUGUACAGGCUGGUCCUUCGGGACUGCGCUGGCAUGGAGCUGGUGCGGAAGCACGUGGGUUGCCUCCUGGAGAUUCCCCACCAGUCCUCCGACCAAAGGGAGCAGGGCAUUGCAAUUGCUGUGGGAUGGACGUCCACCGCGCAUCUGGAGGAGGUGUGGGCCCUGCUGGGGCCUCGACUUGCACGGGAAAUGGGUCAGCAGCACCACCCUGCUGUGCUCUGGACAGAUGGCCCUGCGUGCCAAGGAGAAGAUCUUGCCCUGGGUGGACAACGUCGCCUCCAGGAUGGUGUACUACUUCUCAUCCAGCCCUUGCCCCCGCAGGUCCCUCUCAUGACCCAUGAGGCAUUGCGGCCACCCACCCCUGUCUCCCUGGAUGGACCCUUCCCCUGUGGAAGGCCCUGGCUGCCAACCUCCAGCUGGCCCGCAAGGUGGUCACCCUGCUCUACACGAAGCUGAAACUGCGGCCCCUCAGGAGCUCAUCAGCCCCAACCUCCAGGCCCAGCUCAUCUCCCUGCUGGCCCUGGACACCAUUUAUGAGCUGCUCUACACCCAGGAGGACAAGCCCACAGUCCACUGGGCCUUUGCAGGGGUCCUGCUGGGGCUGCUGAUGCAGCUGCAUUACCUGUUUCAGCUGGGCAUGGUGGAGGGCAUGGCGGACUACCAGGAAGACAUCCUGGACAUGGAGCCCCUGGGGCCCUGCAGGACAUGCCUGGAAGCCCUGAAGGGCGUCUUCUGGACCAAGGGCUACUGGGAGGUGUUCGCCUACCUCAAGCUGCGGAAGGGCUGGGAGCUCUUCGAGUGCUGGAAACCUAUGCGGGGGGGUGGCCCUCUUGGCCAGGGCCAUGGCCCACUAUGACUGUGAGGUCAAGGCGGUCUUGGGGCAGGCAGUCAUUGCUCUUCAGAGCCCCGAGGAGCGGGACAGCGUCAUGGCCAUCCUCAUCAUCACAGAGUUUCUCAACAGCCCGGAGGUCUCCCAGUGGGUGUCUCGGAGAACCGUGAACAACUUCCUGAGCAUGGGCCUGGAUCAUCCCAGCCAGCUGGUGAGGGUCAGGAGCCUGAGGGACCUCAGCAGUGCCUUAAUGCACCCCAAGAAGAGCUGAUGGGGCUGCUGGACAGUUUCCUGAAGACUGACCCGAGGACCUCACAGGCCUGAUGGAGAUCCUGAGUGACAUUCUGCACCGCCUGGGCACCCAGGGCCUCGGUCCACCAGCGUCAUGAGGGCCCAGCACCUGCUGCCCUUGGUCGAGGACACCUUCCUACGCUGAGCCAUCUUGCUGAAGCGGAAGUUCCGGAAGGAGCUGUUUAGCAAGUUGGCGUGGGGCCACAGGCUGGGCGCCGAGAACCACAUUUUUAUCUUCAUGGUA
rnacentral:sRNA from 1 species